CAACAUGAUGUUUUGAUAUAUGUAUACAUUAUGAAAUGACUAUCAACAUAGGCAUCACUUCAGAAAAUUACCCCCCUUUUACUGUGUGCUUAUAAUACUUAAAAUCUUCUCUCUUAACAAAUUUCAAGUGAAAUAAGCCAGACACGGAAAGACAAAUACCUCCUUAUCUCACUUAUAUGUGGAAUCUAAAAAAAAGUCACAGAAAUAAAGUAGAAUUGUGGUUACCCAGGGUCAGGGUGGAAGAAAUGGAGAGAUAUUAGUCAAAAGGUACAAAUAUUUGAUUAUAAGAUAAAUAAGUUUUGGAGACCUAAAGGACAGCAUGGUGACUAUAGUUAAUAAUAAUGUAUUAUAUGCAUGAAAACUGCAAUUUACUUUCAAGCAUUAAUUAAAACAGCAAUUCACUUUGCAAUUCUAAACACCUGGAAUUCUGUCCAUGCAGCCCUUGUUGCAGCUUUAGUGUCAGUUAUAAACAUAGGUGUGAACAGUCUGUAGUGGGGGCCUUGCUAAUGUCUAUUAGUUAAGUUCUUUUUUUUUUAUUUUUCAGAGAUGGGGUUCUUGCUCUCUUGCUCAGGCUGGAGUGCAAUGGUAUGAUCAUACCUCACUGCAGCCUCGACAUCCUAGGCUCAAGUGACCCUCCUGCUUCAGCUUUACAGAGUAGCUGGGACUACAGGUGUGCGACACCAUGCCUGGCUAAUUUAUUUUUAUUUUUUAGAGACAGGGUCUCCCUAUGUUGCCCAGGAUGGUCUCAAACUCCUGGUCUCAAGUAAUCCUCCCACCUCAGCCCCCCAGAGUGCUGGGAUUACAGACACAAUCCAUCUAUUAGUUAAGUUCUAAUGAAAUGAACAAGAUGAUACAAGUUAAGAGCCACUCUGCUUAUACUAUAAGUUAUACCAAACAGUACACUGGAAUACUAGAGAAUUACUGUACAGAGCCUGUCCAAAUAAAUGAUAUCUGAUAGGAUUGUCCAGCUAGUAAUGAAUUUUAUUUCAAGCCCAGGUGGGGUCAGUGAUGAAUUCUUAGAUUGACUCUUUCAAUAUGAACUGUUUGUGAGAAUUAUAAAUAUAUACCUGUAUAUAAAAUAUGAAUACAGUUAUAUUUUAUAUAAUUUUAAAAGGCAAAAUGCUUCUCAAAGAGACAGUUAAAAUUUUAAAGUAUGAUUUUUUUAUUAGCGUUUUUCCAACAGAUGUGUGGCUAACAGUUGACUAAAUCUACUUACUCUUCAUUCUGGGCACACAGCCAGACUACAUUUCCCAGUAUCCUUCGCAGUUACUGAAUACUUACCAAUGGACUGUGAGUGAAAGUGAGGUGUGCUAUUCUCAGUUAAAAUUUUAAAGUAUGAUUUUUUAUUAGCAUUUUUCCAGCAGGUGUGUGGCUAACAGUUGACUAAAUCUACUUACUCUUCGUUCUGGGCACACAGCCAGACUACAUUUCCCAGUAUCCUUUGCAGUUACUGAAUACUUGCCAAUGGACUGUGAGUGAAAGUGAGGUGUGUUAUUCUCAGUUAAAAUUUUAAAGUAUGAUUUUUUAUUAGCAUUUUUCCCACAGGUGUGUGGCUAACAGUUAACUAAAUCUACUUACUCUUCUUUCUGGGCACACAGCUAGACUGCAUUUGCCAGUAUCCUUUGCAGUUACUGAAUAUUUGCCAAUGGGCUGUGAGUGAAAGUGAGAUGUGCUAUUCUCAGGCUUGAAUGUAACAUAUUGCCCAUGGGUGCUAGACCCACCAUGCUCUUUCUUCUUCAGGAUUGAGACAGACAAACUUGGUAACCUGGGAAAUAAGGACUUGAAGAUCACAGAGACACAUGAAUCAACGGGCCCAAGUCCCUGAAUCACUUAUUGGAGAAGAGCUACUGGCAGAAUAAAACUAUCUAUUUGACAUUUAAAUAUAUGAGAAUAAACUUACCCUGUCUGAGUCACUAUAUACUUUGGAGUUUACUAGAGUAGUCAAAUAUGCUGUUUCUGAUUUCCAGACAACCUUUAAAUAUGAAAAGCUGCAGUCACCUGUUCUUCCUAAUUCCCUUUACUAUGGGUGUGCACAGUGCUUCUGUGAUUUGUCUGGUCUCUCUAACCACCUAGAUGUUCAGUAAUAGUUGUAAAGUGCCUUUUCUUACUGUCCUUUCAGAACAUGGACUGAGAGAGAUUUUAGGUUUCGGAAAAGCUCAGAACUUUUAGCACAUGUGUAUUAUAAAUUAAAUGACUGAUACCACAUUGGGGUGGCUUGAGUACCGGUGGAAGUUCUAUUUAAUGAUAGGUGUUACAAAAGAAUAUACAAAGGAAGGGCAAAUGAGAAUGCAAAAUGUACUCUCCUUCAUCUCACUGUAUCCCAGAACAAAAGGAAAAGUUCUGGGUCAUGAUCAAUAUUUGAACAUUAUUUCAAAAUAUAAACCCUUCUCUGACCAUCUUGCAGUAGUUACAUCGUUCCCGUAAUCUCUGCCCCAAAUGCUUCUCUUUGAUCUCUUUCUUCUCUCCUAACACUGACUUUUUCUUCAUGAGGUUGAGAGCUACUGAGACAAAUUGAAUAAAGGCAACAGUUUUCCAGUGUCGGAGAAACUCUAGCACACUGGAGUACAAGGAUUUCCUAGGACUGUGAGCAGGGGUACACUGUGCUGCCCACAAUGUUCAUGUUGGCGACCAUUAUGCUAUAUUCUUAAGGGGCUCUAGGAGUAUAAAGUUGACUCUCUUUGUCAACUUUGAAGUAGUAGUAAUAAAAGACUACAUUUUUUGGGGACCUUCAGAUGUGCUAGGCAUCAUCUCCAACAAUCCUAUAAAUUUGGUAUUAUUGUAAACAUAUAAUCAGAAUACAAUUACCCAUCAAUCAAAUAAAUGGUACAAAAGGUUGAGUAAUAUGACCGAUAUAUAAGUCUAACAGAACUUCGAAAACUUAUAUUAAAGGUUGUAUUAUUUCAGAUAAUCCUACAAAUGGGAAAGAAUAUACUGAAAAUAUACUCAUUGACAUAUUUGAUUACAUUUCCAAUUUAAUUAAACAAGAAUGCAAAAAAAGUAUUGGGUAUGGGUUGACCCCUUGGAGAAGAAGCAGAUGCAUGUAUCACAGCACCGCCUUCUUGGCCUGCACAAUAUCUAAUAGGUGCGGAUAGUGCUUGUGAUGCUGUUUGAGCAGGGAAGGGGUCUUUUGGGUAUGAGAAAUCCAUUUUUGCCAUGCCCAGGCCUUUUGUCAUCAGGGUAUAUAUCAGUAGUCAGAGAGAACUUAGGAAAAAAGCAAACAAGCUACACUUUUAAUCAAGUAUAUUUACACAUAUCCAAGAUGUUGCUUUCUACAUGAAGCAACAAGGUCAUAUCCUCAUAGAAAAUCUAUUUGCCUGCAGCCAGUCUCCUGCUUUGAUUUAAUUCUCUUAUUAGGGAUGUUUCUGAUACUGAAUACGGGGACCAUGUUCACACAGUAAUUUCACUGUAGUUCACACCUGAAUCUUGAUGGGGAGGCUGUGUGGUCAUUUCUGUAGCACCAUUGGUCAUAUAUUUGUGUUGUUGACAAUUUUGUACCCAUAAAAUAACUCACAUAUGAUUUUUAUCUAGGAUACUGUCUUAGUUCAAGCUGCUAGAACAAAAACAUCAUGGACAUGAUGACUUAAGCAACAGAAAUUUAUUUCUAACAGAUCUGGAGGCUGGUAAGGUGAAAGAGGACACUGGAGGGGAUGCUGAAAAGAUCGGGAUCCAGGAGAAAGAAGGAGAAGUGGGAGCAGCAGAGGCCUGACAGACCCACAGAAUUGGACAGAGUGGCAGCUGUUCUCUGGGCAGGGCUGAGUGAAAAUGCCUGGAAAAGGAAGGGGGUGGAAGAAAUCCAAGGCCAUUUGUGCUGCUGGGAGUCGUCACCAGCGGGAGACCCAGCAGGCUGACUUCCCACUGCACUCUACAGGGAAACACAGAGAACAGGGGAAAGAGAGAAGGAAGAGAAGGCCCUGAAGUUAAACAGUGUGCAUUGCAAAGGGAUUUUCAUCAGGCAAAGGACUUUAGAUUUUAUCCUGUAAAGACUCACUGAAGAAUUUUAAGCAAAGGAGUGACACAAUCAGAUUGCCAGUUUAAAGAGUUAUCUGGAAUCAGUGUGGAGAAGAGUUUGGAGAAAGGGAAUAAAGAGGCAGGGAAAUCAGAGCUUCUGACAAAAACCUGAGGUAUGCCGGUAGCCGCCCUUUCCUUUACACGAUAGAAUUUUCUGAAUUUAAAAAAAUUACUCUGAUGGUAGUUUCUUUUGCUGUGCAGAAGCUCUUUAGUUUAAUUAGAUCCCAUUUGUCAAUUU
rnacentral:lncRNA from 1 species